rnacentral:rRNA from 1 species
GAUGAACGCUCGCGGGAGGCCUAACACAUGCAAGCCGAGCGGUAUUGUUUCUUCGGAAAUGAGAGAGCGGCGUACGGGUGCGUAACACGUGUGCAACCUGCCUUUAUCUGGGGGAUAGCCUUUCGAAAGGAAGAUUAAUACUCCAUAAUAUAUUGAACGGCAUCGUUUAAUAUUGAAAGCUCCUGCGGAUAGAGAUGGGCACGCGCAAGAUUAGCUAGUUGGUGAGGUAACGGCUCACCAAGGCGAUGAUCUUUAGGGGGCCUGAGAGGGUGAUCCCCCACACUGGUACUGAGACACGGACCAGACUCCUACGGGAGGCAGCAGUGAGGAAUAUUGGUCAAUGGGUGCAAGCCUGAACCAGCCAUCCCGCGUGAAGGACGACUGCCCUAUGGGUUGUAAACUUCUUUUGUAUAGGGAUAAACCUACCCUCGAGAGGGUAGCUGAAGGUACUAUACGAAUAAGCACCGGCUAACUCCGUG